AGGGGGCUAGUUUAAAAUAGAAUAUAAGCCUGUCUAGCUUGCAGUACAUCGGAAGAUGUGCCCCCUU
rnacentral:tRNA from 1 species